GAUUCAAGACUGGGAUUCGGGGCCCAUAAUGCGCAUGUGGGUUAACAGUGAGUCGCUGGAGGCGGGAAAGUGCCACGUGGCUCGGCAUCCGCGGACGAGGACCACGUCCCAGGAACCCAGAAGCGGGAGCUGCACAGCUCCAACAGCGCGAGCACACAGCCUCGGCAGGCAAUUGACACCUCCGAGAAGGGGAGCGUGGCAGGCUGGGAUGAAUCAUCCGGCCAUCAAAUUUGCUGGCACCCCUCUGAAGGACCCUCCAGGACCUAAAAGGCCAAGGACGCCCCUGCCCGGGAUGGAGCAAGCCCUCGGAGGAGGGGCCCAAGGCAGAAGGGAGCAGACUCAAGGGCUGAGCUUCUCCGGAGGCAGAAGGAGAGGAGUGCGUACAGACGCAGAGCGCCCGCCUCCACCAGCCGCCACUUGUAAAUCUCCCCAGCUUUCUCCAAACACAAGCAUCCCAGUUAUGGCUCCUAAUAAAACCUCACUGUCUGCUCUGGUAAUCACCCUCACUCCCGAGCUGCUCUGGAGGAGAGAGGAAAGGCUGGCUUUGAUCAAACGAGCAGGAGGCUCCUUGGGUUCCUGGGUGGAAAGGGUUAGCAAGCGUGAUGAGGGCAGGGAGGGAGCGGCAGUGGGCCACGAGGCACUGGGCCGGCCGGGAGCUAGGCGCCAACGUACCUGCGUGUAAUCCCCAGGCCGCCCCACCCAGUGGGUGGGCAUUACUCACCCACAGCUACUGCAAGGGGGAAACAAGUGGCUGCCGAGUCUUGGCUGCAGGAGACAACAAAAAGCACUUGUUAUUUCAAUUUCUGCCGCCUACAGGGCGGCCUCAGGCAGGCUCAGGAGCUCUCAGGAAGGGGCAGUCAGGUUGACAGCUGGCACUGCCUCAUCUGAAGGUUUGCGUGGGACUGGAGGAGCCUCUUCCAGGUUCACUCACGAGACUGUUGGCAAGAGGCCCCAGUUCUCCAGCAAGACUGCUAAUGACAAUACGGCAGCUGGCCUGCCCCACCUUCUGAGAGAGACAGGAGCACAGCCAUCUGAGGCACAGCCGCACUGCCUUUUAUAACCUGAUCUCAGGUGAUGUGGCACCCAUUCUGCAGACGCCGUUGGCAACACAGACCCAGCUUGGUCCAGCAUGGGAAGGGCUGCCAAGGAGGGAAACCAGGCGUCUGGG
rnacentral:lncRNA from 1 species